rnacentral:rRNA from 1 species
AUUGAACGCUGGCGGCAGGCCUAACACAUGCAAGUCGAGCGCGCGGCGGCCGGGUGAGUAAUGUCUGGGAAACUGCCUGAUGGAGGGGGAUAACUACUGGAAACGGUAGCUAAUACCGCAUACCAUCAGAUGUGCCCAUAUGGGAUUAGCUAGUAGGUGGGGUAACGGCUCACCUAGGCGACGCUCCCUAGCUGGUCUGAGAGGAUGACCAGCCACACUGGAACUGAGACACGGUCCAGACUCCUACGGGAGGGAGCAGUGGGGAAUAUUGCACAAGGGGCGCAAGCCUGAUGCAGCAAUGCCGCGUGUGUGAAGAAGGCAUUCGGGUGGUAAAGCACUUUCAGCGGGGAGGCGUUACCCGGAGAAGAAGCACCGGCUAACUCCGUGACAGCAGCCGCGGUAAUUC